rnacentral:rRNA from 1 species
GAUGAACUCUGGCGGCAUGCCUAAUACAUGCAAGUCGAACGAGAGGAAGGAAAGCUUGCUUUCCUAAAUCUAGUGGCGAACGGGUGAGUAACACGUAGGUAACCUGCCCAUGUGCCCGGGAUAACUUCUGGAAACGGAUGCUAAAACCGGAUAGGUAGCAGACAAGCAUUUGACUGCUAUUAAAGUGGCUAAGGCCAUGAACAUGGAUGGACCUGCGGUGCAUUAGCUAGUUGGUGAGGUAACGGCCCACCAAGGCGACGAUGCAUAGCCGGCCUGAGAGGGCGGACGGCCACAUUGGGACUGAGACACGGCCCAAACUCCUACGGGAGGCAGCAGUAGGGAAUUUUUGUCAAUGGGGGGAACCCUGAACGAGCAAUGCCGCGUGAGUGAGGAAGGUCUUCGGAUCGUAAAGCUCUGUUGUAAGAGAAAAACGGCACUCAUAGGGAAUGAUGAGUGAGUGAUGGUAUCUUACCAGAAAGUCACGGCUAACUACGUGCCAGCAGCCGCGGUAAUACGUAGGUGGCGAGCGUUAUCCGGAAUGAUUGGGCGUAUAGGGUGCGUAGGUGGCAGAUCAAGUCUGGAGUAAAAGGUAUGGGCUCAACCCGUACUUGCUCUGGAAACUGAUCAGCUAGAGAACAGAAGAGGACGGCGGAACUCCAUGUGUAGCGGUAGAAUGCGUAGAUAUAUGGAAGAACACCGGUGGCGAAGGCGGCCGUCUGGUCUGGAUUCUGACACUGAAGCACGAAAGCGUGGGGAGCAAAUAGGAUUAGAUACCCUAGUAGUCCACGCCG